rnacentral:lncRNA from 1 species
GCUAAGUACAUUUAAGUGUCAAUGUAUCUAGACUAUUUAUAUUUUUAAGUAGCAUGAUCAUUACAGUGGAAGAACAACAGUAGAGCCCCACUUUUUUUGGUUUGGGUUGAGUCACCCUGUUCAUGUAGCCUACAGAACCAUGGAAGAGUAUGUUAUCAGUCUAGUUGAGAUGUUCUGUAUCCUUUAACCAGACAGCGUGAUACCGGCAUCACAUUGUUCUCACUAAUAACACUGUGUAGGCCUACACUAUGUUCCCCUGGUAUGGACCAGAGGACCCUGCUACUCACAUCAACACAUGAGUAGAACAGCGCCAGCCGUUUGGGCUUUAGUCUAGUCUCUCACUCUCUCUCUCUCUCUCUUUGUCUCUGUCUCUGCCUCUCUCUGCCUGAGAGAGAGAGAGCUCCCGUCCUGCUGCUUGUAACAGACGUCCUCUCUCUCACACAGCGUGCUGACUGACAGUGGGCUGGUUAUAUACAAGGAACCUGCUCACCCAGCACUCUCUUGGAGUUGAAGAGAGAGUAUCCUUUAUUCCAGAGGGGUGAGGAAUGGUGUCCGUGUGCGGUUGACACGUUCCCUAUGUGCUGCUGGUUGGAGUAUGAGCAGUACUGUCUGGUCCAGCCCUGGAAAGCCCUGUCUGGUCCCAGCAGAAGAGACCUCAGAGACUGGAUACAUUACAGAUGGUUUACUAUGUCAAUGCUGGGUUCAAUGUGUUUAAAUUCCCCCCCCCCCCCCCCGGCCCUUGCAACUGUUCCUCUUGCAGAUAUACUGUUUGUGGAUAUUGACGUCAAACCACACUUGUCCAUAAAACACUGUGUAAACUAUUUUGGUGAAACCCUCUCUGUGGUUGAUUGAACUGGGUCUCUGUGAGUGUCUCUACCAGACUGGCCUGCCUUGGCAGUCCAACGAGCAUCUAGCAAGUCAUGUUCCCAAAUAAAGUGGGUGAAAUUAUGGGUUUCUAUAGUAUAUUUAUCUUGUGUUUACUGUUGAAUAUGAAUUAGACUUUGCCUACAGUAUAGCAGAUGCUCUUAUCGUGGUUUUACUAAAAUGCAAUCAUUUGAAUGAAUUCACUUUCAGAGCCAAGAUGAAACACCAAAUGUAUUAAAUUCUGAUGCAAAUAGUCUGUUGAUUUUGCCAGAUGGAAGUUUCCAAACCGACACGAUAUGAUCCAUUUGUUUUAUGUAGUAGCAACAUAUGCCUCAGAGAUAAUAGAAUACACAUUCAAAGUGCCCUAAUGCAACACGACCUCCCUGGUCUGUUGUAAAGAGACAUUAGUCAGACUGGCAGAGACAUUUUAUGGGUCUCAAGCAGCUCUUGACAUUGACCUGCUGUUAUCAAGCUAUAAGAAGUGUGUUGUUUCCUAUCAGAAGCUCAUUUUUCAUGUGGUCCUGUAGAGCUCUAUCAGAUCGAUCUCAGUCUCAACCCCUUGCCGUGACAGCUAUCUGGCUGUGGGCUAUCUCUGUGUGAAUGUGCAGUAAUGUGUAUAUGUUUGUGUGUGUGUGCGCAUGCACUUGUGUGUUUUGUGUGUGUAUUUGUCCGUCCAUCCGUGCGUGCCUGUGAUGUGCAUCUGUGUGAUCAACCCUCUGUCUUGGUAAGCUUUCUUUGUUUGUGUAUUGACCUUCUAUUUGAUGGUCUCUAGGAACAUUGUAUAUCUGUCUAUUGUAUAUCUGUCUAUUGUAUAUCUGUCUAGUGUGUUCCUGGGCAGUGAUGACAGACAGCCUUGAUGGCCUGACAGCACAGCACUCACUAACCUCCUGUCUCUCUGUAACAUCAGUCAUUUGGCUCCUGUUACUCAGGGAUUGUGUUUACGUCCCACAUGGUACCCUAUUCCCUCUAUAGUGCACUUCUUUCAAAAGUAGUGUACUAUAUAAUGAAAGGAAUAGUGUGCCAAUUAGUAUGAACCCUGUGUAUGCCGAGUAGCAUUAGCCAGGCGCUGCCCAGCCCUGUCUGUCUGUAUGAACCCUGUGUCUGCCAAGUAGCAUUAGCCAGGCGCUGCCCAGCCCUAUCUGUCUGUAUGAACCCUGUGUAUGCCGAGUAGCAUUAGCCAGGCGCUGCCCAGCCCUAUCUGUCUGUAUGAACCCUGUGUCUGCCAAGUAGCAUUAGCCAGGCGCUGCCCAGCCCUGUCUGUCUGUAUUGAACCCUCUUUUUGCCGAGUAGCAUUAGCCAGGCGCUGCCCAGCCCUAUCUGUCUGUAUGAACCCUCUGACUCACAGAGAGAGAGAUGGCCAGUCAUUGACAGUCUACACAUGCCUCAGAUUAGCUCUCUCUGUCUCUACAUAAUAAAGCAUAUAUCACACUUGUCUGGACAGACCUUUUGAAUGGGUGGACCUGUGUGAUGCAGCAUGACCAUGUUCAUGCUGGGAUGACCUGACCCUGAACGUGACCAUGCUAGUCAGCGGUCACAUCAUCAAUACUGACAGCCACAGAUGUAAUUAUCAAUACUGACAGCCACAGAUGUAAUUAUCAAUACUGACGGCCACAGAUGUAGUCAUCAAUACUGACAGCCACAGAUGUAAUUAUCAAUACUGACAGCCACAGAUGUAGUCAUCAAUACUGACAGCCACAGAUGUAAUUAUCAAUACUGACGGCCACAGAUGUAAUUAUCAAUACUGACGGCCACAGAUGUAGUCAUCAAUACUGACAGCCACAGAUGUAAUUAUCAAUACUGACGGCCACAGAUGUAGUCAUCAAUACUGACAGCCACAGAUGUAAUUAUCAAUACUGACAGCCACAGAUGUAGUUAUCAAUACUGACAGCCACAUAUGUAAUUAUCAAUACUGACAGCCACAGAUAUAAUUAUCAAUUCUGACAGCCACAGAUGUAGUUAUCAAUACUGACAGCCACAGAUGUAAUUAUCAAUACUGACAGCCACAGAUGUAAUUAUCAAUACUGACGGCCACAGAUGUAGUAAUCAAUACUGACAGCCACAGAUGUAGUCAUCAAUACUGACAGCCACAGAUGUAGGCAUCAAUACUGACAGCCACAGAUGUAGGCAUCAAUACUGACAGCCACAGAUGUAGGCAUCAAUACUGACAGCCACAGAUGUAGGCAUCAAUACUGACAGCCACAGAUGUAGGCAUCAAUACUGACAGCCACAGAUGUAGGCAUCAAUACUGACAGCCACAGAUGUAAUUUUCAAUACUGACAGCCACAGAUGUAGGUAUCAAUACUGACAGUCACAGAUGUAGUCAUCAAUACUGACAGCCACAGAUGUAGGCAUCAAUACUGACAGUCACAGAUGUAGUCAUCAAUACUGACAGCCACAGAUGUAAUUAUCAAUACUGACGGCCACAGAUGUAGUCAUCAAUACUAACAGCCACAGAUGUAGGCAUCAAUACUGACAGCCACAGAUGUAGGCAUCAAUACUGACAGCCACAGAUGUAGGCAUCAAUAAUGACAGCCACAGAUGUAAUUAUCAAUACUGACAGCCACAGAUGUAAUUUUCAAUACUGACAGCCACAGAUGUAGGUAUCAAUACUGACAGUCACAGAUGUAGUCAUCAAUACUGACAGCCACAGAUGUAGGCAUCAAUACUGACAGUCACAGAUGUAGUCAUCAAUACUGACAGCCACAGAUGUAGUCAUCAAUACUGACGGCCACAGAUGUAAUUAUCAAUACUGACAGCCCCAGAUGUAAUGAUCAAUACUGACAGUCACAGAUGUAGUCAUCAAUACUGACUGCCACAGAUGUAAUUAUCAAUACU